rnacentral:ncRNA from 1 species
CAAGGUAAUUUAUGAGCAUUACGUUCAUGCAUAACUUCCAUACCAAGGUUAGCACGAUUUUACUGAGUGAUCACUUUCAAAUUCAGAGAAACCCUGGAAUGAACAAAAAUGGGCAAUCCUGAGCCAAAUCCUAUUUUUUGAAAAUAAAUGAAGGUUCAGAAGAAAAGGAUAGGUGCAGAGACUCAAUGGAAGCUAUUCUAACAAAUGAAGUUAAUGUGUUGGUAGAGGAAUCUUUACAUCGAAACUUCAGAAAGAAAAAG